rnacentral:rRNA from 1 species
GAUGAACGCUGGCGGCGUGCCUAAUACAUGCAAGUCGAGCGAACGGACGAGAAGCUUGCUUCUCUGAUGUUAGCGGCGGACGGGUGAGUAACACGUGGAUAACCUACCUAUAAGACUGGGAUAACUUCGGGAAACCGGAGCUAAUACCGGAUGAUAUUUUGAACCGCAUGGUUCAAAAGUGAAAGACGGUCUUGCUGUCACUUAUAGAUGGAUCCGCGCUGCAUUAGCUAGUUGGUAAGGUAACGGCUUACCAAGGCAACGAUGCAUAGCCGACCUGAGAGGGUGAUCGGCCACACUGGAACUGAGACACGGUCCAGACUCCUACGGGAGGCAGCAGUAGGGAAUCUUCCGCAAUGGGCGAAAGCCUGACGGAGCAACGCCGCGUGAGUGAUGAAGGUCUUCGGAUCGUAAAACUCUGUUAUUAGGGAAGAACAUAUGUGUAAGUAACUGUGCACAUCUUGACGGUACCUAAUCAGAAAGCCACGGCUAACUACGUGCCAGCAGCCGCGGUAAUACGUAGGUGGCAAGCGUUAUCCGGAAUUAUUGGGCGUAAAGCGCGCGUAGGCGGUUUUUUAAGUCUGAUGUGAAAGCCCACGGCUCAACCGUGGAGGGUCAUUGGAAACUGGAAAACUUGAGUGCAGAAGAGGAAAGUGGAAUUCCAUGUGUAGCGGUGAAAUGCGCAGAGAUAUGGAGGAACACCAGUGGCGAAGGCGACUUUCUGGUCUGUAACUGACGCUGAUGUGCGAAAGCGUGGGGAUCAAACAGGAUUAGAUACCCUGGUAGUCCACGCCGUAAACGAUGAGUGCUAAGUGUUAGGGGGUUUCCGCCCCUUAGUGCUGCAGCUAACGCAUUAAGCACUCCGCCUGGGGAGUACGACCGCAAGGUUGAAACUCAAAGGAAUUGACGGGGACCCGCACAAGCGGUGGAGCAUGUGGUUUAAUUCGAAGCAACGCGAAGAACCUUACCAAAUCUUGACAUCCUUUGACAACUCUAGAGAUAGAGCCUUCCCCUUCGGGGGACAAAGUGACAGGUGGUGCAUGGUUGUCGCCAGCUCGUGUCGUGAGAUGUUGGGUUAAGUCCCGCAACGAGCGCAACCCUUAAGCUUAGUUGCCAUCAUUAAGUUGGGCACUCUAAGUUGACUGCCGGUGACAAACCGGAGGAAGGUGGGGAUGACGUCAAAUCAUCAUGCCCCUUAUGAUUUGGGCUACACACGUGCUACAAUGGACAAUACAAAGGGCAGCGAAACCGCGAGGUCAAGCAAAUCCCAUAAAGUUGUUCUCAGUUCGGAUUGUAGUCUGCAACUCGACUACAUGAAGCUGGAAUCGCUAGUAAUCGUAGAUCAGCAUGCUACGGUGAAUACGUUCCCGGGUCU